AACGAACGCUGGCGGCAUGCCUAACACAUGCAAGUCGAACGAGAUCUUCGGGUCUAGUGGCGCACGGGUGCGUAACGCGUGGGAAUCUGCCCUUUGGUUCGGAAUAACAGUUGGAAACGACUGCUAAUACCGGAUGAUGACGAAAGUCCAAAGAUUUAUCGCCAGAGGAUGAGCCCGCGUAGGAUUAGCUAGUUGGUGUGGUAAAGGCGCACCAAGGCGACGAUCCUUAGCUGGUCAGAGAGGAUGAUCAGCCACACUGGGACUGAGACACGGCCCAGACUCCUACGGGAGGCAGCAGUGGGGAAUAUUGGACAAUGGGCGAAAGCCUGAUCCAGCAAUGCCGCGUGAGUGAUGAAGGCCUUAGGGUUGUAAAGCUCUUUUACCCGGGAUGAUAAUGACAGUACCGGGAGAAUAAGCUCCGGCUAACUCCGUGCCAGCAGCCGCCGUAAGAC
rnacentral:rRNA from 1 species